CGUAUUGCUUUCAGGUUCUCUUUCCAGAUCACAAUUUAAUUAUUUAAUUUUUUGUUUAUUUUUUUAUCAUUUAAAGAUUCUAGGAGUUGGGAAGACCACUUCUCAACAAGAAAUAAAGAAGGCGUAUCACAAAUUGGCUCUGCGCCUCCACCCAGAUAAGAAUCCUGGGGAUGAGGCAUUGGUGGGAGAAGCAGCAAACAAUCUUCAGGAGUACUUCAGAACAAUGUACAAGAAAGUCACGGAGGCUGACAUUGAAGAAUUUGAAGCUAAAUAUAGAGGGUCAGAUUAUGAGAAAACGGACUUGAAGGACCUCUACACAAAAUAUAAGGGCAACAUGAACAGGAAUAAUUAUCUCUUAUAUCAUAUUGUAAAAUCUGAAACAGUUCUCCUGUAGAUGGUUAGCUUGCAUUUUACACUACAAUUAGCUCAGAUCACUUCUUGU